ACACCCGACCCCAUUCCGAACUCGGAAGUUAAGCCCUCCAGCGCCGAUGAUACUGCGGUUCUAACCGUGGGAAAGUAGGACGCCGCCAGAU
rnacentral:rRNA from 1 species